AAAUUCCUAUCUUCUUUCAAGGCUGUAUAUCUGAGAUUUUGCUAUGCAAUGAUACUCAAGGUCAUUCAUGUCAUCAAAUAAGACCUUCUUCUAGAGAUUUUCAGGGUUCUUUAAAAUAAAAGUAGUUUAGUUUGUUUGAAAUUUAAUUGCCACUGUGAUCAUAUUAAGAGGUGGAACCUUUAAGAUACUUUUUGGUCAUGAGAACUCUGCCCUUAUGAAAGGAUCCUCAUGCAAUUGUAGGGAGAGCUGGUAGUCCUGGUAGUGGGUAUUUGAAAACAAAUGAAGUUUGGCCUCUUUCUCUCUCCGUUGCUUUCAUUUGCUGCCAUUUUACCUUCCACCAUGGAAUGACACAGCAUGUUGUUUAGGAGAUGCUUAAAUCAUGGUCUUAGACUUCCCAGCCUCCAAAACCCAUGUGGUAUGUCUUCUCCCACUUCAUCUCUCACCAUGAUUUUAAGAUUUCUGAGGCCCUCACUAGGAACAUAUGGUGCACCUUGCUUCCUCUACAGCCUUCAGAACUGUGUGUUAACUUGGAAGCUCUGUUGUAAAAUCUUGAGGGAAUAAAUGUGUGAUGAACAGAGGGUCUGCGUCAUCAAUACCUAGUUUAUGAAGAGUUUUUGACAUAAGUGGAUGUUGAAUUUUAUUGAAGGCUCUUUCUGUAUCUAUUAAGAUAAUAAUGUGUUUUUUUGUCAAUGAUUCUGUUUAUUUAAUAGAUUAUGUUUAUUUAUUUCUGUAUAUUGAACUAGCCUUGAAUCCCAGGGAUGAAGCU
rnacentral:lncRNA from 13 species